rnacentral:lncRNA from 1 species
UGAUUCACUGCAACAGUGUGGAAUUUCUGAUACAUAACAGGGAUCAAACUACACCUGUGAACCACUUUCAGAAGUUUUUAUCUGAUGAAUUGCCUCUACCCUGGAUUAACAAAAUUAUCUAUUCUCUGUGAAAUAGAAAGAGUAGUGAUUAAGUAAAAAAUGAUCCUACUUUCCACCCGCCCCAAAGCAGAGCAAAUUCAACUGCUAGUUUUUCUGUUCCUUUUUUCAAAACCCUGCAACCAUCAUAGGAAGAGCUAGGACUCAUCUUUCAUAAAAUUUAAAUUUACUAUGGUUCUUUUCAAAUAACGGAACAUUAUUCAGCGUUAAAGCUAUUUUUGAAGAUGCAAUGGGUAAGCUGAUAGCUGCCUGCUGAUGGUUUCAGACUUGCACUGAAGAAAAAGGAAGAAUUCAUAGCGGCAGCUCGGGAGAGAGCGGGAGGACUAGGCCGAAGCAAUGUACCAAACAAUUCGAGGCUAAUUCUCUGAUGACGGGGAGGUAUUUAGUUAAUAGUCCGGCAGCAUACCGUCGCGGGGAUCUGACAUUUACUCAUAAACACUCAUAAACACAUUCAUACACACUACCCAAAAACAAAUAUUUAAGGAGAAAAUUGUCAAUUUUAAAUAAUUAUUACUUUUAAAAUAGUGGAAAAUAAUUUAGUAGUAUGCACAUGACUCCACAAGUUAUAAAACAGCAUCUAGAAAAGUCUAAAAAUUUAGCUGUUUUUCACAAAAGAAAUGGUUGCCAUAGGUAUUUGAAAGCUACAAACUAGAAAUAAAACAACCAAUAAUGGAUCUGAGAGCAUAUCAAAGGACGAUAUUGUUAUAUAAAAUCUGAGGCCUAUUUGCUAAUAUUGGGAGCAUGUGUGCAUAUUGACGAAAAUUAACGAUAAUUUUACAGCACUGGCUCAUGGAUCAACACAGUAUAGUGCACUAUUUUCACUUUCUAACAUCUUCACGUAAACUCAUGAUUAGAGCCACUUUUUAUUUCCAUCUUCCAUCCGGUGUUGCUUCAAGGGUAAACAAAUAUGUACGGCUACAAGCAAAAUUGAAACCAGUAUGACUCUUGAUUUAUAUUUCCUUAUCUUUUGACUUCUACCUGGUUAUAGCCUCAAUUUUAAAUACAGACUACUUUUCCAUUUAGUCAAGUGAAUUCAUUACGCAACCUAAUUAGCGGAGAUAUGAAAAUACUACCUUCAUGUGUCAUCAAACUAAGCUGUAUUUUCCUUCACUAAUUGAUGUGACGCCUUGAGUAUACUAUAAAAUAUUAUACAACGAUUGAAGAGCAUUUAAUUGCGAGCAGACGUGACUUUCAUGGUCUGGAAUCAUUUCAAACAAAUUCUCAAAAUUUUGAUGAAAUGCAAUUGCCAGAGGUAGCGAUUUAAAUAUUUAUAUGGUCAGCGACAAAUUAAAGAAUAUAUAGCUGGUUGCAUCGAAAUCUAAAUACUCAAUAACUCAAUCUAAUUCUACUAUUUGCAUUUUUUUCUUCAUUAUUUUAUUAACGAGUUUCCCUCACACGACAUGCUUCUUUAUAUUCAAACUGGACCGCAACGCAACCGAAAAUAUUUCAUCAUCGCCGCCAUCAUUUUUGCGGAUUUGGUAUCCGCCAGUAAAACCUGUUCUACAUUAAAAGUCGUACCAAUGUGAUGACGGCGUCCUUGAGAAGAAGCUGUUAAUCUAAAGCAAGAUGAAAAAGCGAGAAAAUUACCACAAAUAAAACGCGACGCGAUGGGAAGACGAAACCAUCAAGAAAUCAUAAAGCAAGAAUAUUAUUCUUCUUCAAUUUCAAGAGACACAAAUAUUAAGUGAAUAACAAACAUAUGGUGGUGGUCUGCCAUUAUGAAAUGUAAAUAUUAUCCAAUGCUCUUUCGUUUGUUUUAUACUAUUCAAAGUGGAAAAGAAAAAGAGAAAAAUACCUGACAAAAAAUUCAUUUCUUUGACCUGCAGCCAAGCAAGUGACAUUCUGGGUUGUUUUUUAUACUGUCAAUAAACACAAACGAUUCAUAAAAAGAUCUUUUAAAGAUGAUUUCAAGUGAAUGGUCAACAUGAAGGGAAAGACCUCUUUAAAAGCCGACAGAGUGCGUCUCAUGUAUUCACUUUUGGCUGUCGUGAACCUUGAAUCGAAGUCAACAUCGAGCCGACACGUUGUCACAUCGUGAAGGACAACAAAAGAGCUCGAUGCAUUGUAUAGACGAGAAACUCGAUUUUUUUAAGUUGAGUCAAUUAGCCUGGUACAGCCGCAACAAUAUCACCUGUACUUUUGUCGGUGCUGUUUUGUUGAUCAAUUGAAGUAUAAGAUAAUACAUAGCUGUGAAGUUUUUUGUCGGGCCAACAACUAAAUAUUUUGGGUUAAGGAAAAAUCACCAAAACCUUCGAAGUUUGAUAAAGAAUAGCAAUCCUCUUGUAGAAAAUAUCACAAUAGAUUGUAAUGACCGCUUUUACACUUUUUGUAUAGCUUAUAUUAAAAUAAUAUUUGCUUAUAUCAUUC